GUGUAUGGCCAUGCCACCUUGAGCAAGGCCGAACCUGUCAGAUCUUGGAUGAUAUGCAGUGUCGGGCCUGGUUAGUACUUCGAUAGGAGACCACCUAGGAAAACCAGGUGCUGCAGGCC
ensembl:rRNA 5S_rRNA 5S ribosomal RNA